CCUACGGGAGGCUGCAGUGGGGAAUAUUGCACAAUGGGGGAAACCCUGAUGCAGCCAUGCCGCGUGUGUGAAGAAGGCCUUCGGGUUGUAAAGCACUUUCAGCGAGGAGGAAAGGUUAGUAGUUAAUACCUGCUAGCUGUGACGUUACUCGCAGAAGAAGCACCGGCUAACUCCGUGCCAGCAGCCGCGGUAAUACGGAGGGUGCGAGCGUUAAUCGGAAUUACUGGGCGUAAAGCGUGCGCAGGCGGUUUGUUAAGCGAGAUGUGAAAGCCCCGGGCUCAACCUGGGAACCGCAUUUCGAACUGGCAAACUAGAGUCUUGUAGAGGGGGGUAGAAUUCCAGGUGUAGCGGUGAAAUGCGUAGAGAUCUGGAGGAAUACCGGUGGCGAAGGCGGCCCCCUGGACAAAGACUGACGCUCAGGCACGAAAGCGUGGGGAGCAAACAGGAUUAGAUACCCAUGUAGUC
rnacentral:rRNA from 1 species